CUAUGAACCCUUCCCUUGAAGAAGAAGAAAGAAGAAGAAGCCCAAGAAUUGAGGGGGCCUCUGUGCUACCACACGAGGAGGCUAUAUGUGUAUGAUCCAUCUUAUCAUGCACCAAUAGCAGUUGAAGCUGCCAGCAUGAUCUAAGCUUUUCUGUUGCCCACCCUUUCUCCAGGAAAGACUAGAUCAUGUGGCAGUUUCACCUGUUGAUGGAAGCAUGAGAAACCCUAAUAGACUUAAAUCCCGUUCCGAUCUUCUGAUCCGCUUUCAGCAACCCCAUUAGGGUUUUUCCUUAGGAAAACCUGAGAAAGGGUUAGUUAUCUUCUUCUCUUUGAUUUUGGCUCACAUAUUUGUUUCAAGAUUUACUUUCUCUCUCUAGCUAUGCCUUGCUCGUUCAAUUACAUGCUUCUUGUUUAUAGUGUUUUCUCAUGUUUUCGGUUGUUGUGUUCUUUCUUUCUUUUCUGUGUCAUGGUAUGUGGAGAAUCUUACUUGUAGGAGAGAGAUAAUGUUAGGGUUUUAAGUGACAGAAUUUCUCUGUCUGAACGCGGUUGGUGCUUUUGAGAUCCCUCCAAAUGCCUUGGUAUGCAGAAAAGGGUUUGGAGAACCAAGCCAUAUUUUCUCAAUAGAGAAGCAAAGGAUGAACAAUUAUCAUCUGAAAAAUAGUUUGUUGACAGUCGUGUUCCGCGAAAGGGCAAUAGAGACACUUUAGCUUUCUAGAAAGUAGCUUGUAAAUGCAGGUAUUUGGGUACCCUUUUUUGUGUAUGUAUGGUGUUAUCUCAAUAUAGAACGGAAAUGGUCCAACAUGCACAGCCAUUGAACAUUAUCUUUGAGCACCAACUUGUAUAUUUUCAAGGACAUUAGUCAUGGUAGGAUUGUAUUUUUCAAGGUCAUAGUAGAUGGAAAAAGUCUUUUCUUUCUUUCUCUUUGUGCUUGUUUCGUGAGUUUGAUUCUUAGACAACACUGAACUUGUAAUGACUUUCCAUCUCCUAUGCUCUAACGUCUUAGCAUGGUCAACUUUGUCCGCCGUAGAUGUAAUGUCACUGCCUAAUCUUUAAGACCUUUGUUUCAGGACUCUCUCUCUCUCUCUCUCUCUCUAUGUAUGUAUGUUAGAUGAGGUUUAUGAACUUGGACUGCAUUGAAUAACAAGUUUGAUUUUUCUGUUUAGCUUGGCUUGGUGGAGUUUGUUACCCUCUUUUGUUGGGAAGCUUCAUUUGGCUACACUCCACACAAUCUUUCUAGAUUCUUAGAUAGCCCAUGUAGCCAAAAACGUCAUUUAUUUGGUUCACACAUCUCUUCUAGGGUUUUUAUACCUUAAUUAUACAUGAAGAACACCACAUGGUUGGGGUGUUCCUUCCAGGGAUUUGUUACAUUCCAUUAAUGAGACUCUUCCCAUGAGCCCUAGCUAGGUCCUCCUCUUCAACUUGGCGUUAUAUUGAGUCACGUGGGCACUUCCCCAUGGGGACUCAAAGAGCAAGCCAUAGGCUGUAAUGCAGAAAGAGCCUAUGAAAAAAGGAAAAAGUAGUAUAGUACUCUUUGUUUCUAUGUAUACAUCUAUGCUUCUGUCAUAUUCCUCAGGACAAGGAUGUUGCUAAAGACAUUGUUUUCCUCUCAUUCAAGAUAGGUGAUCGGACAUUUUCAUUGACUGGAAGCAAUCAGAACAGCUAGGACAACAAUCUUUUUCUGUUUGUAAUAUUUUUUGUAUAUAAAUUUUUUCAUAGGUGUAACUGUGUAAGGUAAAAUUGCUGAAAUACCCAUCAAUGAAAUGAUUUGAAUAACUCAAA